UUUUCCGCGCCGUAGCUAACGCAUUAAGUGCCCCGCCUGGGGAGUACGGCCGCAAGGCUAAAACUCAAAGGAAUUGACGGGGGCCCGCACAAGCGGCGGAGCAUGCGGAUUAAUUCGAUGCAACGCGAAGAACCUUACCAAGGCUUGACAUAUACUGGACCGCAUCAGAGAUGGUGUUUCCCUUCGGGGCUGGUAUACAGGUGGUGCAUGGUUGUCGUCAGCUCGUGUCGUGAGAUGUUGGGUUAAGUCCCGCAACGAGCGCAACCCUUGUCCCGUGUUGCCAGCACGUUGUGGUGGGGACUCGCGGGAGACUGCCGGGGUCAACUCGGAGGAAGGUGGGGAUGACGUCAAAUCAUCAUGCCCCUUAUGUCUUGGGCUUCACGCAUGCUACAAUGGCCGGUACAGAGGGUUGCGAUACUGUGAGGUGGAGCUAAUCCCUAAAAGCCGGUCUCAGUUCGGAUUGGGGUCUGCAACUCGACCCCAUGAAGUCGGAGUCGCUAGUAAUCGCAGAUCAGCAACGCUGCGGUGAAUACGUUCCCGGGCCUUGUACACACCGCCCGUCAAGUCACGAAAGUUGGUAACACCCAAAGCCGGUGGCCUAACCCUUUUGGGAGGGAGCCGUCUAAGGUGGGAUUGGCGAUUGGGACUAAGUCGUAACAAGGUAGCCGUACCGGAAGGUGCGGCUG
rnacentral:rRNA from 1 species